UACGAAGGGGGCUAGCGUUGCUCGGAAUCACUGGGCGUAAAGCGCACGUAGGCGGAUUGCUAAGUCAGGGGUGAAAUCCUGGAGCUCAACUCCAGAACUGCCUUUGAUACUGAUAGUCUCGAGUCCGGAAGAGGUGAGUGGAAUUCCGAGUGUAGAGGUGAAAUUCGUGGAUAUUCGGAGGAACACCAGUGGCGAAGGCGGCUCACUGGUCCGGUACUGACGCUGAGGUGCGAAAGCGUGGGGAGCAAACAGG
rnacentral:rRNA from 1 species